rnacentral:tRNA from 1 species
GUAGCAUAGUGAUUAGUGCACAACCCGGAUAGAUUGAGACGCGGGUUCGAAUCCCGCC